GCUCUUCAUGUCCAAAGCCUUGGGAGCCAGAACUUUCUAUGGAAGAAAACUUGUGCUUUUUCGGAGGACAAAGCAAGCAGUUUGGUUCCCACGACCCCAUGACUGAGGGUCUAUCACCGAAGUUGGUGUUUAAAAAUUCAUAACUCCACACAGUUCUAAGAAAACAGGAUGCUCAACAAAUGUCUGUCAGAAGUGAGCUCACAGCACACAGCACACUGGGAUCUAACGAGUAGGGGAGGAUCCUGCUCUGGACUCUUCAGAGAACUCUGGGAUUCGGCUUGGCAGUCGGCAGAUGCAGAGGUUGGUUCUUUGAAGAGACUAGAGUAUAAGAAGGUAAACAAGGCUCUGUUUAAGCACACAUGGUGACAGCUUUCCACUCUACCUGUCAAGUAUGAGCAUCUAACAGCCAUAAGAAGUCUAUUUGACCAUCAGAACCCCACAGAGGCAGAGCCGAACUCAACAAGCUUUCCUUCUAAAACUGGACUUGGAAUCGAAAUAACCCUUUUCAGAGUUUGGAGGACAGGGUGAGAGUGAGAGAGACAAAAGCAAAAACAAACAAACAAACAAACAAAAACCCAAAACAACAACAACAACAAAACCAGAGGACUUCUGAAGACAGAAGAGUCCUAACUGUCACAGGUGUCUUUCUGUGGGCAAAGACACCAUCACCACAUUCUCUUCUCUUAAGUCCACAGGUUGAACAACCUCCACUUGAGCAUCUGGAAUCUGAAAUGCUGUGUGACAAUACAUUGCUACAAGUGGAGACAUCCACACCAUCAAGCUUUCUUUCCUGAACAAACACUUUUGCAUAAAAUUAUCAUCAGGUUAUGUAUAUAAGGUACAUAUGAAAAUAUGAAUCAUGCAUGUAUUUCCUAUUUAGAAGAGUUCUAUUCUCCCAAGAGAUCUCAUUGUGGGUAUGCAGAUAUUCCAAAAACUAAAAAAAAAAAAAAAAAAAAGGAAAAAAAUUGAAA